rnacentral:other from 2 species
GGCUUCCUGGGGUAACUGACAAUUGGUUACGUCCCUCGAGCCGAUAAACACCAGAUUGGAUUUUCUUAGCAGGUGUUGUGAGCAUGUCCGUUCUUCGGAAAGCCUAAUACAUCUCGGGAAUCUCCUCCUUGAACCUUCGGGUUCAGGGCCACAACCAAUAUCGGUACCUCGGGAAGUCC